AAUAAAAAACAAAAAAACCACAGCUUGGCCAAACCCAUUGCCGUCUUUCAGUUUCUGUCCGACUCUGUCUAGAAUGGAAGCCAAGGAAGCAGAAGACGAGUUAACAUGGAGCAGAGAAACAAUCCCAAGAGUAAUGAAGAUAGUCAGCGCAAGACUUCCUCAAAAAGACCUUAUCUCACUUCUACUUGUCAGCCCUUGGCUCCACCGCACUCUCAUCUCCUACCCUUCUCUCUGGCUCGUUCUUGAUUUUCGUGAGAUGAGCAAGGCGGGAGAUAGGCUUAUAGCAGCUCUUUCACUGUCAAGAUACCAGCAUGUGAAGCAGAUUAGCCUUGAAUUUGCACAAGAUAUUGAAGACAGACAUCUUCAAGUCCUUCAAAGCAAGUUUAUCAAUUCUCUUCAAAACCUGGAGUCUUUAAACCUGAAUGGCUGCCAGAAAAUUUCUGACAAGGGAAUAGAAGCUGUAACUGGUGCUUGUCCAAAUCUCAAAGUCUUUUCUAUUUAUUGGAAUGUGAGAGUGACAGAUGUCAGUAUAAAGCAUUUGGUAGAGAACUGCAAACAUGUAGUUGAUUUGAACUUGAGUGGUUGUAAGAAUAUAACAGACAAAAGUUUGCAAUUAGUUGGAGACAAUUAUCAAGACUUAGAGUUGUUGAACCUGACUAGGUGCAUCAAGCUAACAGAUGGUGGCUUGCAACAAAUAUUGUCCAAGUGCUCCUCUCUCCAGAGUUUAAAUCUUUAUGCCCUUUCAAACUUCACUGACAAAGCUUACAAGAACAUAUCAAAUCUACCUGACUUAAGAUUCUUAGAUUUAUGUGGUGCCCAGAAUCUAUCUGAUGACGGACUUUCUUGUAUAGCUAAAUGCAAGAAUCUUGUCUCCCUCAAUUUGACCUGGUGUGUUCGAGUCACUGAUGUGGGGGUUUUAGCUAUUGCCGAAGGUUGCACCCGUCUCGAGUUUCUCAGUUUGUUUGGAAUAGUUGGUGUGACUGACAAGUGCCUGGAAGCUCUUUCAAAGUUCUGCUCAAACACAAUUACAACCCUUGAUGUGAAUGGAUGCAUUGGCAUAAAGAGACGGAGCCGUGAUGAAUUGCUUCAGCUAUUUCCUUAUCUGAAGUGCUUCAAAGUACACAGCUGAUAUCAGGAAAUUUUCAUACUUACAUCUUCACAUAAAGGUGUUUUACCUUGUAAGCCAUAUUAUUUCCUGCAUGCAAUUUUCAAACCACAAUGAUUAAGAAUUAGACUCUAUGCACAAAGGGAUGAUAAAUUUUCAAUCAUGACAGAAUCAUAUAAACAAACAGCAGACACUCGAAAUGACGAUUUGGAAUUUGGAAUACAUUCAUACCACAUGGGAUUUGAAUUCUUUCAUCCAUUACAUGUGAGUUCAUUAAACUGUUUAGCAUGUGUACGAAAUGCAGGCCAAAUACAAUUUGUCUUUGUUUUAUCCAUCGCUGUCUGAUGAGAUUCUCCUAAAAAUAUAUGUAUCGAUCAAAUGUUUUACUGACAAAUUAUUUUAUUCAUCAAACAAUAAUCAGUAUACAAACUGUUCUAU